GCUCGGCCCCGCGCGCGGGCUCCUCGGGACGGGUCCGGCCGUGACCCCGCUGCGGGACGAGACCCCCGAGCCUCAGCCCCGGCCCCUGGGCCUCAGCCCCGUCCCGCCGCCCGACCCCAGCCCCGGCCUCAGCGUCCCGCGCGCCUUUGGGCCUCACGGGGCUCGUCCCGUGUGCUGAGGAGGAAUCCAUGGAGUGAUGCAAACUUUAUAGUCAAAGUGAGGAAGCAGCACAUGAAUUCUGUGCCUGAGCUCACUGGGAAGCAGCAGCGAGAUCCAGAGCAGAGCCUGGCCUGGAUGAGACCCCUAGGCACCAACCCUCUCUGCUGCCCAUCCACGUGUCCCCGCCGGGAAUUGCUCAGGCCACACACCGCAGAUUUGCCCAGGGAGAAAGUCACAGCUCUGCCAGAAAACCAAAACUGCUGCUGUAACUUCUGAGCAAAGCUAGACCAGCACCCUGGACCUGCUGCCUUGGGGCUGUGUGAUGAUCAGGAAGGAGCAAAGCGACAGGCUGGUGUCCCCCUCCCCACCACCACUGGCCCCCACCAUGCGCUGGGGAAGAGAAGCAAAGCGCUGAGAGACGGUAAUUCAGCAUAAAUCCUCGCUAGAAAGAAAAGUCCCCGCUGGGGUUUGCAACGCUGCCUUUUCCUUCAGGCCCCAGAGAGCUGCAGGUGGGGAGUGUCACU